AAACAAUAUGACCCCACGAAAAAUAAAGAGAGGAAAAAGAGGAAUCUAACUUUCCUUUUGGGCAGAAGGAAGAAGACUUCGUUAUGGUCUUUCAACACCUAAUUAUCUCAGCAAAUUGAAGAGCUCUAAAGUAAUCUAGAUCUGUUGAUCUUAGUGAUCUAUGGAAACAAGUCCCUUCAUCUUCAUCAUCAUCUGAAAACUCCAACGCAGCUUAAUUAUUCCAUCGUUCAGUCUGGAUUUGUUGAUCAUAAGUGCAAACAAAUGCCCUCAUGACCUGAUUGACUCCCAUGAAACUGCUUCUUGCUACAGAUCAUGUCCAAUAUUCGUGCAAGUUCGAGUCUUGAAACGUAGGAUUGCAAGAGAUAUGCGGCAAAGAGAAGAAGAGAGAUUGGAGAAUAGACUUGAGGAAUUGUGUGUUAA